GUAUGCAAACAUACCAGUACUAAUGCACCAUAUUCCAUAAAGACUCCUCAGUUAAGCGUGUUUGGACGAAAAAGUAUUAAGAUGGGUGAUCUUCCGAAGAAUCGUGUUGCAUCUU